rnacentral:rRNA from 1 species
GACGAACGCUGGCGGCGUGCUUAACACAUGCAAGUCUACGAGAAGAGAGUAGCAAUACUCUUUGUAAAGUGGCGCACGGGUGAGUAACACGUAAGCAAUCUACCCUUAGAUAUGGAAUAAUCCCGCGAAAGCGGGACUAAUACCGUAUAAUGCAGCGGCACCGCAUGGUGAUGUUGUUAAAGUUCAUGAAACGUCUAGGGAUGAGCUUGCGCCCGAUUAGCUAGUUGGUGAGGUAACGGCCCACCAAGGCAACGAUCGGUAGCUGGUCUGAGAGGAUGAUCAGCCACACUGGAACUGAGACACGGUCCAGACUCCUACGGGAGGCUG